rnacentral:rRNA from 1 species
AUGCGACGGAAGUUGGCCGGGUCGGCGGUGAUGUACGUGGUCUGCGGGCGGCGGGACACCCGGGGCUUCCGCUUGGAGACGCGGCCCGUGCAGUGCCGCGCCGCCGCCGCCGCCGAGGCUGGCCUGCAGCUUACGGCGGGCAGCGCGGGCGCGUCGUACGGAGUGCAGGACAGCUCGGACGCGGAGGAGGUGGUGGUCGUGGAGGAGGAAGGGGUCGGGGAGGACGGCGAGGCGGAGGCGCGAGCGAGCGCGGUGGCGAGCGCGUCGUUCUCAAAGGCGGCGGCGGCGGGGGAGAACCAGGCGGCGUAUGGCCAGGGAGCCGGGGCGGGAGCGGGGAGGUGGGACCAGGUGGUGUCAAGGCUCGCGCAGCUGUUGGCCAUGGGAGGGAGAGGGAGUAGCUUUGCUUCCUGGAUUGGGUUUGAAGGUGACUGA